rnacentral:misc_RNA from 1 species
AAGUCGUAACAAGGUAUCCGUAGGUGAACCUGCGGAUGGAUCAUUAUUUCAAUUUGCAUUUCAUUCGAUUUCAAUCUCAUCAUUGUGAACUGUUUGGUGUUCUGACUUGGACGUUCGCGUUCAACCAGACACUGCUUUUUAAUGAAUACACAACUAAAAACUACAUCUAGAAAUCUUAAAACUUUUAGCAACGGAUCUCUAGGCUCUC